GAUGAAGAACGUAGCGAAAUGCGAUAAGUAAUGUGAAUUGCAGAAUUCAGUGAAUCAUCGAAUCUUUGAACGCACCUUGCGCUCCUUGGUAUUCCGAGGAGCAUGCCUGUUUGAGUGUCAUGAAAUUCUCAACCUUUUCAGCUUUCUUUGUUGAUCAGGCUUGGAUGUGGGAGUAUGCGGGCUUCUCAGAAGUCGGCUCUCCUGAAAUGCAUUAGCGGGACCUUUGUUGCCUGGCUUUGGUGUGAUAAUAAUCUACGCCAUUGUAGUCAAGCAGCUUAAAAUGAGGUUUCAGCUUCUAACCGUCUCCCCUGAGACAACUUUUUGACAAUUUGACCUCAAAUCAGGUAGGACUACCCGCUGAACUUAAGCAUAUCAAUAAGCGGAGGA
rnacentral:misc_RNA from 1 species